UUAUUUUACAUUUAUUUUAGUAGUAUAAUAUGUUAUUUAUUGAAUGCAUUUUUUUAAAUAUACCGUAUAUAUUUAUUAAGUGUUUAUUAUUAUUUAACAACAAACUUUAUUUUCAUUUAUUUUAUUUAUUUAUUUUUUAUUUGGAAACUUAAAUUCUUGGAGGGAUAACUAAAUAUUUUAUAAAUGUUGAUAAUUAAUGACUGAAAUUUAUGUGUGACCCAACACGGAUAUGGCUGCCCAGCAAACACAGAACGUUGUGACGACGUCGCCAGUUCGUCGUCCUUUGGUCAGCGCGACAUUACUUUAUGGCGACGUUGUGAGGACGUCGUGGUAAAGUUCCAUUUUUUAGAAUCUUGGCUAACGUUCCAGAAACGUCGUGGGCACAUCCUCAAAAGACGUCGCUUGUUAGUCCCGUGAAGAACGUUGUAGCGACGUGGUCAGCUGGUCUCAUGAUAACUUUUCAUAUUAUUGCACUACAUGUAUUAUUAUGUUAAGAUACCAUUUGGAUAGCCUAUAUUUUGGAAAAUUUUAAAAGAUGGCAUGAAUUAUUAUAUUUGUAGGUACGUAUGUGUCAUCAAAUUAAGGACAAAACAAAACCAAAUAGCUUGCUUAGCAAAUGGUGAUCAUUGUUAAUUACAUGUUUGUGAAUGACUGAGAAUGAGGUUUAUUGAAAGAGGGCUCGGGACAAAUUAACAUUUAAACCAGCAGCGCGCGGCGCGUCACUGUCUGUACUGCUGCGCGAGAGUGCGCGUGCCCGUCAUUAACGGUCAACUUCCAGCAGACGGACACGGAGGAAAAGGUCCUGACUGCCACCAGUCGAGUCAAUGAUUCAGUGGAGAGACAAUCUGGGCAGCAGCAACAAGACAACUAUUACAGUAGAGAUGGGUUUCAAGAUCCAGGUGCAAGGUGCAAUAAGAUGCAAGGAUCCAGGAUCAAGAGAUCAUUCAUCAUGAAGACUGUUCAAUAGGAAGCAGCGAAUCCUGGGUGAAAAACUAAACCUGGUUGUUUCAGCAUCACUCAGGCAAGGCAAAAUACAUUUAAAUUGAUUUCAGUAGGUUAUAUGUUUCAGAUCAUCCUGACCAUUCUGUUGUCCUGGAUUUGAAGACAUGCUGGAACUGUAUUUCUCGUGGCUGAAAGAUUUGUGCAGCGGUAUCCAGACAUAUAAGCACCCUUCCUGGACCCACACGACUAAAGGCUCUGG